AAUAUAACACAGAUGGCCUGU
rnacentral:miRNA from 24 species